rnacentral:rRNA from 1 species
GCAUAUCAAUAAGCGGAGGAAAAGAAACCAACAGGGAUUGCCUCAGUAACGGCGAAGUGAAGCGGCAACAGCUCAAAUUUGAAAUCUGGCUCCUUCGGGGCCCGAGUUGUAAUUUGGAGAAGAAUGCUUCGGGGGUGGCCCCCGGUCUAAGUUCCUUGGAACAGGACGUCACAGAGGGUGAGAAUCCCGUACGUGACCGGUGGCCUCCUCCAUGUGAAGCUCUUUCGACGAGUCGAGUUGUUUGGGAAUGCAGCUCAAAAUGGGUGGUAAAUUUCAUCUAAAGCUAAAUAUUGGCCAGAGACCGAUAGCGCACAAGUAGAGUGAUCGAAAGAUGAAAAGCACUUUGGAAAGAGAGUUAAACAGUACGUGAAAUUGUUGAAAGGGAAGCGCUUGCAACCAGACUUGCGCGCGGUCGAUCAUCCGGUGUUCGCACCGGUGCACUCGGCCGCGCUCAGGCCAGCAUCGGUUUGGGUGGUUGGAUAAAGGCCUCGGGAACGUGGCUCCCCUCGGGGAGUGUUAUAGCCCGAGGCGCAAUGCAGCCCACCCGGACCGAGGACCGCGCUUCGGCUAGGAUGCUGGCGUAAUGGUUGUAAGCGACCCGUCUUGAAACACGGACCAAGGAGUCUAACAUCUAUGCGAGUGUUUGGGUGUCAAACCCAUACGCGUAAUGAAAGUGAACGGAGGUGAGAACCCUUAAGGGUGCAUCAUCGACCGAUCCUGAUGUCUUCGGAUGGAUUUGAGUAAGAGCAUAGCUGUUGGGACCCGAAAGAUGGUGAACUAUGCCUGAAUAGGGUGAAGCCAGAGGAAACUCUGGUGGAGGCUCGCAGCGGUUCUGACGUGCAAAUCGAUCGUCAAAUUUGGGCAUAGGGGCGAAAGACUAAUCGAACCAUCUAGUAGCUGGUUCUGCG